rnacentral:misc_RNA from 1 species
GUAACGGCCAUCUUGUAAAUCGCGUCAACUCACUGACUCGAGAUAUCUCAAUCAGUACAAAGCAAUUUACAUACGAGUCCGCCAUGCAGUACCGAUCGGAUCAAUCACAAUUCAAUAAGCCUUAAUAAUGUACUGUACAACAAAAAUCAAAUUACACUUACAUCGUGCACAAAAUUUUCCUGGCUUUGCUGGCAAUCACCUGGAGGCAGCAUAGCGGAAGCUGCCCCUGAAAGAGGCUGUCUUGUGCUUUUGUACAACAAGUUGUAUGGAACAUUGUCGCGAUUCACAAGUCCUAUGGCUUGACAUCCAAAUGAGCUUUUCAUACAAAUAUGACGGCUCCUUACGCCUUAAAAGAUCGAAAAGAAGACAAGCUAAGUGAAAUUUGCGACGGUGUUUCAUUUUUAAAAUCGAGUGUACAUUUAAGUAAGGAGUAACGUGUUCUCUAAAGGGAAUAUCGAAGCAGAAGCGAGCACAGGCAUUCUGGAUUCUCUGUACAAGUCUCUGUGUUUUGGCGGUCAAACGAGGUCCAUAUACAAUAUCUGUGUAAUUCAACUUGGACAAUAUCAGUGACUCAGUAAGGCGAAUACGUAAAUCUACUCCCAGGUGAUCUCUCACAUUGUAAAGAAUUUUUAAGCGGUAAAAACAAUCUCUCACUAGUCCAAUGAUGUGAUUCUCAAAUCUAAGAUUACAGUCCAUCUGUAAGCCAAGGUUACGUGCUUCCCACACCCUUUCAAUAGGUUGAUCCAUUAAUAGUAUUUUAUUUGUAUGUUUUAGCCUUAAUAUUUGAGAUUUUGUGCCACAAAUC